rnacentral:sRNA from 1 species
UAUGCUAUUAACACUCACCACAGCAGAGAGCUGAGGAUUGUGGUCGCAAUUCGGAAUAAACUGCUUCUGGUCACAAGAAAACACAACAAGCCAAGCGGGGUCACCAGCACCUCAUUGUUGUCUCCCCUGUCUGAGUCACCUGUUGAAGAAUUCCAGUACAUCAGGGAGAUCUGUCUGUCCGACUCUCCCAUGGUGAUGACCUUAGUGGAUGGGCCAGCUGAAGAGAGUGACAAUCUCAUCUGUGUGGCUUAUCGACACCAAUUUGAUGUGGUGAAUGAGAGCACAGGAGAAGCCUUCAGGCUGCACCACGUGGAGGCCAGCAGGGUUAAUUUUGUUGCAGCUAUUGAUGUGUAUGAAGAUGGAGAAGCUGGUUUGCUGUUGUGUUACAACUCUUCCCAGCAGCAAGCACCAGCCUUCCACGGCAACACGGUAUCUUCGUGCAGCUUUCCUGUUUACACUACUGCUUUUUUAUUAAAUGGUGUUCAGUU